CUCAAAUGUCAAGGCUUGGUGAAAAAAGCUCUACGUAUUUGGAUUCCUAGUAGUACAUGUACAUGUAUGCGGUUUGGAUUUUUACAAAAUUCUGAAUACAUUUUUCAAGUUGGCCAAAGUUGGAGUUUGAAGCCACUGUUGGAGAGUAAGCAGGAAUUUGAGAAAUGGUGAUCCACAUCAAUGCAUCGAUCUCUUAGAUCUUACGCGUUACACAGUCCAAGGCCAACUCCGUACUCGUAACUCACUGAAUAUUUGUGCGUGCGGGAUCGUAGCGUUGGACCGUUGACCUUAUGUGCUGGUGAAGCCGAUCUUGUCAGCCGUCCCUCCCUCGAAGAAGCAGACUCUCUCCUGGAAGGUCAGUUGAAUCUCCUGUACUGCAUGUACCAGAGUCACAGUCAUUGUCGACCUCCCCGGAGUUGACUGAGUGAGAAAGGUUGCCAUCUGCAUACACACACGCACCCCGUGUUGUGUCUCGCUGCUCCAUCGAUCGGCCAAAUUCACAAGACCGCCCUGUCAAAUUGUGGUCCUGCCCUGUUUCUUGUUUCUGCAGUGCUGGUUGCUUUACAUUUAGGACAGACUGUCCUGCUUAAGAAGAGGAAAAAUGAACCCUGAAUAUUUUGAGAAACUGCUGCAAGUUAUCAUCAAAAUCUUGGACUAGCAUUCCCUAGCUAAAGUUCCCUGACGAACUUGAAGAACAUUUUGUAGACUACACUCCAGCAAAGAGCCGCCAUCAUAAGCCCCUCACAAUUUGUCUUUGCAUCUACUGUUGCAGCUCAGGCUAGGCACCUCUUUUUUGCUCCCUGUCUCUGACCUCCGUUCUCCUCACAGUAGACUUGGACAUCUCCUCCAUACGUCAUCAUGUCGACUAUACCUGGCGGUUGCUUUGUGGCUCCCGACAGCCUGCGCCGAUACCAGCAGUUACAGAGACAGCAUGCCCGCGAGGCCAAGAUGCAGGAGGGUGGCAAGCCCCCAGCCCCAACUGCCCCAGAGUCGCCCCCCGAAUCACCCCCCGUUUUGUCCUUCUCUUUGCCACCUGCAGACCACAGCAGAUCAACCUCACUCACUCAAUUGAUCUCAACAGUUCCUAUGAGACUGAGUGAAAUGCUAGGCCGUACCAGGAGCAUGUCCAGCCCACAGUCCAGCCCACCAGCAACCCCACCCAUGUCCCCAAAUAUGCCACGGUCGCCCCUGCAAAGUAGCGGUCCGAUGACCAUCCCUAAGCUCAAAGAGGACGAUUGCACCAAGAACCUGGACCAAUCCCAACUGUCAGAGUCCAUUUAAGUAGCAUCCAGACCACUUUAAUAAGAUGACAAGAUUGUGGCAUUUCUGAAGUGAUCAGCCCAAAAAGAAAGCAACAUUCACGUAAAAUGUGAGAGCUCAGAGAUAUUUCUUUUCUUUCAACUCCGCUCAAGUAUUGAGGGAUAAUGUUGAUGUUUCUUCUCAAAUGAAGAAACAAUAAAUUUAAUAAGUGAGGAAGAAAAAGGGUAUUUCUGGAAAUGUGCUGACAAUUUGUAAUUUCCAGAAAUAUGCUGACAAUUUUCAGAAAUUACCCAGUCUUCAACUGUUCAUAGUGUGUAUGUACCUUCCACCUAACCAACUAUCUCAGCUCACCUUUGCACUUUUACAUUUAAAUUUUCCACUCCCUGUCCGUUUACCUGUUCUAUUGGACUGCUGAAAGUUGAACAAAAUAGCUCCAUAUUUCGACCAAUUGCUGAUUCUCAUCUCAAGCAGUCUCCAAAAUGUUCUUCAAGGCCUCAUGUAAGUAUUGUAGCAUAAGAAAUGAUUAUCUCCUCAUUACUGUAAAUAAAAGGGUACGUGUGUAUAAUAUCCAACCUGAAAUGGUUGUUUUCGUGUUUGUUUUCUUAUUCAGUUAUCUUAGUGUGGUGUAGCACUGUUUGAUCAUAGUGUCGAUGCUGUAAUGGCAUUUCCUUGGUUCAGUCAAUGACAGAGAAUGAAAUGAAAUUCAAAGAUAAGUAAUUUCUGUUACGAAAAACAGUUUGAUGAAGCAACUGGAAUUUUAUUGUACAAAAUCGUGAGACGUGUUCAGUUUGCAGUGUCAGCUGAAUGUUGAAAAAUGAUAUGAUUAGAUCCUUUGUGCAGAUGUAAUUGUAUGAUUCAACUUUUUUUAACAUGGGACAUUUUAAUUUUUAGGCAAAAUAGAUUUUGAGGUUAGUCAACCUGUUGUACAUUGUUGCCCAAUAAUGAACAGUUUUUAAUGGAUGGAAAUAUUCGGACACAGGUGCUGCAAUGUGUAAAUGUUUUUUAAGGAUUGUGAAAAGAACCAACGAUUUCAAAUUGUUUUCUCUCUUAAAAGAAAUUUGUGACACAAAGCAAGUAAAAAAAUCAUGUGUUUAUGAAAAGAUAAUUUUUGUCUUGCUUUUUUUCAUCUUGGUGAAGCUAAAUCAGUAACUUCUUUGCUUAAUUUAAAUCCUGGGAAGUGAUUGGUCAGUGCCAUGGCAACUAGUAAAAUGUUGAUAUACAUGUAAGGCAAUAAUGUUGAAAGUUAAAGUCAAGCAAUAUCCCAAGGAAAAGAAGUUACACACAUGGCGUUGUUAGAACUUGAAGACAUUGUUUAAAUUCAUCAAUUUGGGGAAUUCUGUUACUCUUUAACAAAUAAGCAUUUAAAAAAAAUACUUUGAGAGUUUAUCUUGUUUUGGUGAAAUUUUGUUCUUUUGCCUUGCAAUUUGUGCAGGAUCAAACCAGGUGAUCUGCUCAAAUGUGUGCUGUGGUUGUUUGAUCGAGCGAAUUUGGAGAUUUGCUUUUUUUUUCAAUGUUGAUGUAGGAAGAAGUUGGUGUUGGCAGCAUUUGCAGAGGUCCUGGUUAUUUGAACAAAUGUAACGGGCUGCAUUUUAAUUUCUGUAUUGACAAGUGCAUGACACUCUAGAUUCCUGCACGGAAAAUUUGUUUUUCAGUUUUCAGUAAAGUUCAUUAUGUUACCAGUUUCCUUUUCCCCUCAAUCGCUGUUUACGGUCUCCACACAUACCAGUCUUUUUUUAUCACAUGCACAGCAACAAAGCCCUAGGAAUUGCUGAAACUUGCCUGGCAUAAAGAAGCUUUUAUAGAUUUUUAAAAUGUCUAGUCGGUUUUGGAGGACUGUGCGGGAUUUAUUGUCACCCUGUAAUACAUUAUAAACCAUCGCCAGGACUGUGGAGGCUUAAGUCUCUCCACAAUGACUUCACAUGGGGCUUAAUGUCUAAUGUAUUUGGUGAAAUAUCAGAUAUGAUCCAUUGGUUUCUAGUACGGUGGAGGUUUUCUUAACAAAUCAGGAAAGGUGUUAGCAGACAUAUCUGGAGAGUUACUUGUGAAGUAAAUACAUGACAGCCACCGUUACUGCUGUCAAAAAGAAACAGUAUCCACACUCAGUGUGAUGUAUUCCAUAUGAGGUGCACCAAGCUAAGAUCUUAAACAUAUAUAAUAACUGUAGAAGUCUGUAAAAGCAAACAUCUGAUGUCUGGCACUGCUACUUGCCCAGUACAUAAAUAAUUCAAGGUCAUUUCAUUAUUCUGAAGCAAAAUAACUCCUGUUCUUUUCCUUUCACUCUAACACCUGUUUAGCUUUUAGAUGAAAUGUAUUUUAUGUGGAAACCAUUGCAGACUACAUGUAAUGAUUCAUUUUUGUAGUGCCAAAGCUAAAAAAAAGUCGAGAUACAAGUAAUUAAGCAAUAUCUGUGCACAUAUCAAUCCAUGUAUGUGAAAGGUACAAGUUUAUUAUGCUUGGUUUGUGUUAUCUGCUGUGACAGUCAAGCUGAGUGACUUAGUAAAAUCUGGCUUUUUAAACUACCUAAAUAUAUUCUGACACAUGGCAUCUAUACAUCAGAUAAUCCCCAGGUAAUUGUACAGUAGUACUCUCCUCCAGUCUGAGAUCAAGUCGCAAGAUUUUAAGAUGAAUUGUGAUAAACGCAUUCCUUUCCUUUGCCACUCUUCUCUCUGUCACUUGUGACUGGUCUCAACUACAACACUGCCAUUGUUGCAGCUACGGUACAAGACAGCUGGCUUUUUAAACGCAUUUACUGAUGACACCGCGCUGUGUAUGUGUGCUUGCCUGUGGAAUCAGUGGACUGUUGGGCCCUACUGGCUCCAUACAGGUUAUGCACUUUGCUCGUCGCCUGAAUAGGGAAGGGCUGAUGGCUUUGCACUGUGAUUGGCUACAUUGUGCACAACCUGUGACCGCGAGGUUAUCACUUCCUGUGUAGCGAAGCGUUACUUUAAUUUUUUUGGUUCACCAAUGGCAAUGCUUUGGUAUGGGCCAAGAUUUUGCUAUAUGAUAAAAGCAUGGCCUUGGAACAAUCACUGUGGUAAUUUCACCCACCAUGUGUCUUUUGGGGGGUAUAUUUCAAAUCGUUAAUUAUCGUGAGCAAUUUCAGAGAAAGGAAUAAAGUGUUGAGAAUGAUUUCAGCAAUGAGAAAGAAAAAGAAAAAAAAAUCGAAUGGAUAACUGCUGUUUGUGUAAGGCAUUGAGUGAACUUGCGCACCUGGCAGGAAUUACCUACAAUGUUCUGUGUGUCAUUAGCUAUGACCCCAUGUGACGUAUUUUCUUCACUAAAACCGGAGCAACGCCAUCAGCCCUUCCCAGUGCCUAUUGGGGCACUGGGCGACGAGCGAAGUCAUGCAUGGCAGCCAUCUUCCUGGUCAGUGUUCGUGCUCCAGAGAUACACAUGAGUAGACUUUUUGAGCAUAUCCCCCCCACAAAAAAGCACUGCCUGGGAAGAUGGGCAUAACCUCUGUAGGAAAGUGCACACACAGUGUGAUGGCCUCAUUUUUGUAAAAAAUCUGUCAAGAAAAACUGGUAACAUUCAGUCAAUGUAUUAAAAAAAAUAUUUGAUUUACCUCAUUUCUAAAUUUUGUUCGAGGGCAACAGCCAAUGCACUCUCUGCGGUGUUUGUUUGGCUCUUUUCUGUGAUGGAAAAAUGCCAAGUAUAUUUAUUGAUAUUUUGUCUAUACAAAUUCCAAAUUAUAGAUUGCUUGAAUAAAAAUGACUGAUAUUG